rnacentral:lncRNA from 1 species
AAUUGAAAGAGAUAUAAUUAAAAUUUCAUGUAUCUAUGUAUGUAAUUUUAAAGUAAAAUAAGAUUAAUUAUCCGCGGCAGAAAAACGCAACAAAUAAAUUAGCAAUUAGCGUCGUAUAAUAUUUGCAACAUCAUAAUUCUAAUAAAAUUCAUAAAUUUAAAUAAUACUUUUAUACAGACACUAAUAAAACGUAUAAUUAAUUCUCGAGACAAAAAUACAACGCGGAAUAAAUCAAAUGUAUAUGCACGACGAUAUUUUUUGUUUCAUCGCAGUUUAAGUCUCGAUGCUUAAUUAAAUUAAGUACGUCGUAUGAUCGUCGAUAUAGCAACGACAAUCACGCGCGAGGACGUUGAGAAUUAAGUUGAGAAUUAAGAGUAAGCAAGAGCAAGACGAGGGAAUCGAAGUAUAAUCUUUCACUGGACAUUUCGAAAGAGAAAUGACGCGCCGUUGAAUUCGGAUCGCGGAUGAAGAAACACAGGCGUAAUUAGUGUUGCCAGCAUCAUCGCAAAAUUGAAAACGAAUGGACAAACCGGUCGCAGUGAUAUUGAGAAUUGUGCCAAGGGACGGGAAUAUCCGCGUGAAUCGACUGUCUCGGUGCUGUUGGCUAACUCAUACUAUGUCUGUUCGCCCGUGAACGUACAAAAGAUCCUGUGUUUCGAUGCACAGAGGACAGAUAUAUAUAUAUACGUAUAGGCGCACGUUUAAUUGCGAGAUAGGGGCGCGGUGUUCAGUUAUGUUAGCGAAAUUGACGGACGCACGAACGUGACAACCGAGAAAGUUUGAACUUUCUACCCUUGCGCCUGUACGUACACUUGGGUUUAAUUUGUAAAGUGUUGUCAAAAGUCACGAGCGAUACGUUUGAUUGAUAGUGGAAAAAAAGAUGGUGGCGCGUAACGCGAUUAUAAUACUUUCUGUUAAUUAAUUAUUACGAGAUUAUUAUUAUAUCCGCAAGAUCCAUCCUUGUAUGCAAAAUUUAUAACGUUCUAAAAUGAUUAAACGUAAAAAUGAAUAUCGUGGGAUAGACCGUGUGCUAGGGAUAUUACAUAAGCGUUACGACACAUUACGAAAUCGAUCAACUUUCGCCUCUAAACGUCAUUGCAUCGUUGCGCCAAAAUUAAAAAGAAGGAGAAAAAAAAAAUAAAUCUCAAAUUUAUCAUUAAAUCAUUUAAAAAAAUCAUGAUUAACUCUCGAGUGUACAUCUGUGUAUACACACUCGAUAAAAAUACAAUUCUCCGCGCUUUUGUCUUCAGAAACGAUGACAUUUGUAUUUAAAAGCGAAUUUGUAUUUAAAACUUGUACAAGCUUUAUACAUAAUGAGCGCGUUCUCGCAAAUACAAAUUGUUAUAUGGAUGUAUACCCAUAGGGAGACACGUAUACAAAUAAACAUACAGGUUUGUAUACAUAUUAUAUACAUACAUACAUACAUACAUAUAUAUAUAUAUAUAUAUAUAUAUAUAUAUAUAUAUAUAUAUCGAAUACCCAACGGACGACAGAACGUACAAGAGAAUAGCGUAGUAUAAAGCAUAAACUACAAUUAGCGGUAAUCCGCGUGACACGGGCAUGGCACCCUUUGCGCAUAUUAAAGCAUUAGCUACCGAGUCAUACGAGCGAACCGUACAUCAUUUCAGGACGUGGCCACGUCUGCCACGGUAAAAUCGUUAAAUUUACGAAGAAACACGACUGGCUCGAUACGUUGUGACUGAAUUUUAGUAGCGGUCUAGAUACGUCCCGGUAUACGCGUGGACAGUGGACUGUCACCGGUGUAUAUCGUGUAUAUAUCGCGUACGAUACUAUGGAAAUAUGUAUUAUUUCGGGAUCACUAGCGGAAAAAAUCGGUUAUAUAUAGAGAUAAAUUACGAAUGAAAUUCAAUGGGAAAAGUUGCAUACUGUGCUUUGUGAAGCAUGUGGAAUGAAAUAUUGAUAAUUGAUCAUUUUGAUUUUGAUCUUGUUCAAUGAAGAAUUAUCGAAGGUUUUGGAUUAUCGCAUAUUCGAAUCAGCCAUCCCAAGAAAAUUGAAGAAGAAUAAGAGCAGAUUGAUUGUUUGAUUGUAUUGAUAAAAUUUCCUAUAUGCGAGACUAAUAAAACGAUUACGGAUGAUUAUAAAAA